rnacentral:rRNA from 1 species
AGAGUUUGAUCCUGGCUCAGAUUCAACGCUGGCGGUAUGCUUAACACAUGCAAGUCGAACGGUAACAGUCCCUCACCUAGAAAUUUCUUAAAAAGAGAUUUGUAGGUGAGGGAGCUGACGAGUGGCGGACGGGUGCGUAAUGUAUAGGAAUCUGCCUAGUAGUGGGGGACAACUCGGAGAAAUUCGAGCUAAUACCGCAUAAGCCCUACGGGGGAAAACGGGGGAUCUUCGGACCUCGUCCUAUUAGAUGAGCCUAUAUUAGAUUAGCUUGUUGGUGAGGUAAUGGCUCACCAAGGCGACGAUCUAUAGCUGGUCUGAGAGGAUGAUCAGCCACACUGGGACUGAGACACGGCCCAGACUCCUACGGGAGGCAGCAGUGGGGAAUAUUGGACAAUGGGCGAAAGCCUGAUCCAGCAAUACCGCGUGUGUGAAGAAAGCCUGAGGGUUGUAAAGCACUUUCAAUUGGGAGGAAUACCUAAUAGUUAAUAGCUAUUAGAUUGA